GUUAUAUGGUCAAGCGAAUAAGCGCACACGGUGGAUGCCUUGGCGGUCAGAGGCGAUGAAGGACGUGGCAGCCUGCGAAAAGUAUCGGGGAGCUGGCAACAAGCUUUGAUCCGGUAAUGUCCGAAUGGGGAAACCCACCCGCUUGCGGGUAUCCUGCAGUGAAUACAUAGCUGCUGGAAGCGAACCUGGUGAACUGAAAUAUCUAAGUAACCAGAGGAAAAGAAAUCAACCGAGAUUCCGUAAGUAGCGACGAGCGAACGCGGACUAGCCCUUAAGCUGAUUUGGUUCUAGGAAAACACUCUGGAAAGAGUGGCCAUAGAAGGUGAUAGCCCUGUAUCUGAAAGGGCCAUUUCAGUGAAGACGAGUAGGGCGGGGCACGUGAAACCCUGUCUGAACAUGGGGGGACCAUCCUCCAAGGCUAAAUACUACUGACCGACCGAUAGUGAACCAGUACCGUGAGGGAAAGGCGAAAAGAACCCCGGAGAGGGGAGUGAAAUAGAACCUGAAACCGUGUGCGUACAAGCAGUAGGAGCUCCGCAAGGAGUGACUGCGUACCUUUUGUAUAAUGGGUCAGCGACUUACUGUUCGUGGCAAGCUUAACCGUAUAGGGGAGGCGAAGGGAAACCGAGUCUGAUAAGGGCGCAUAGUCGCGGGCAGUAGACCCGAAACCGGGUGAUCUAGUCAUGCCCAGGGUGAAGGUGCGGUAACACGCACUGGAGGCCCGAACCCACUCCCGUUGCAAAGGUAGGGGAUGAGGUGUGAUUAGGAGUGAAAAGCUAAUCGAACCCGGAGAUAGCUGGUUCUCCUCGAAAGCUAUUUAGGUAGCGCCUCAUAUGUAUCCUCUCGGGGGUAGAGCACUGUUAUG
rnacentral:rRNA from 1 species